rnacentral:misc_RNA from 1 species
GAUGAAGAACGCAGCGAAAUGCGAUAAGUAAUGUGAAUUGCAGAAUUCAGUGAAUCAUCGAAUCUUUGAACGCACAUUGCGCCCCUUGGUAUUCCGAGGGGCAUGCCUGUUCGAGCGUCAUUAUAACCCCUCAAGCUCAGCUUGGUGUUGGGGCCUGCUGCACUGGCAGCCCUUAAAAUCAGUGGCGGCGCCGUCUGGCUCUAAGCGUAGUAAUUCUUCUCGCUAUGGAGUCCUGGUGGAUGCUUGCCAUCAACCCCCAAUUUUUCUAUGGUUGACCUCGGAUCAGGUAGGGAUACCCGCUAAACUUAAGCAUAUCAAUAAGCGGAGGA